rnacentral:ncRNA from 1 species
UGAUUCGAGUUUGAAUGAAGGAGCUAAGAGGGAAUUCGGUCAUUCUUCAAAAAGCCGAAGCUGCCCCCGCAACUGUAAAUGGUGUGUCGAAACCGUAUGCCACUGGGGUUUUACCUUGGGAAGGUGGUUUUGACGUUGCAAGCCAUGAGCCAGGAGACCUGCCUUGGAUUGAA